CAUGGCAGUGCUUGCUGCUGGGGCUGGCGGCUUGCUCGCCUGGGCGACUAGUUCUGGCCUGGUCAGUCGGCGGCCGACAUCCUGUCUGGGGCGGCGUCCCACAGACGGUAAACGUACCUUCUGUGUGAUGUCAACCCUCCAGAGGGCUUCAGCCUCCGUAGAAGCGUCUGUAUCCACAUCGCCUUCCUCCUGAAGACCCUGCUGAAAAUGGAGGAAUCGGUGCUGGUGAUACCCCCUUGGGGCCUCCUCUACCAUUGGCAGAGCCUGGACAUCCACCAGGUCCGGAUUCCCUGGUCUGACUUUUUUGAUCUCUCAAGUCUCAACAGAAACAUCCCUGACACUGAGUACGAACCGUUCAUUGCAGUUUUUCUCAGGAAAUAGAUCUGAAGUGUAUGAGAUCUGUGUUCCCUCCGCUCUGAAAAUCCUGG